AUAUAAUCACCUGGAGAUCAUAUUAAAAUACAGCUUCUGAUUUAAUACCUCUUGGGCAGGGCCUGAGAUCUUGAAUUUCUAAGGUCCCAGGUGAUGGCCAU
rnacentral:pre_miRNA from 1 species